rnacentral:pre_miRNA from 15 species
UUGACGAAUGUCAUCCACCUGCACCCCGCAGCCCGAAUUAUGUGGGAGCUGCGCCGUUUCCGUAAUCCGUAGCACCACAUGAUUCGGCUUCGUGGUACAGGAUAUCAUCGGUUUUUGCUA